AAAGAUGCAAUAGAACGAGACAUGGAAUCAUCAAGAAAAUGUAUUACAUCCUGCAGGCAACACUACUAGAAAUUCGACAUAUAGCGACGAGCUAUAGCGACGGUCGGCACGGAACCGUCACUAUAGAGUCCAUAUAGUGACGGUCGGCACAGAACCGUCGGUAUAGAGGCCUUUUAAAGAGAACCCCUCUCAUCUUCCCCCAAAUCAUUUCAAUAUUUCAGUCCAAUUUUUCCCCCAAAUUAUCGUCUUCCUCUCAAGUCAUCUCCCUCCUUUCUAACACUUUCUCAGAUCUCGUUUAUGAGAUACCAACUAAAUCGUUUAUGAUCUGAAAGCCCCAGAUCUCGUUUUUAGCUAUUAUUUACUGUGAUUCGAGCUGCAAUGGCUAAGCAAAAUUGAAAGCCCCAGGUCGAGAAAGCAAAAUUGAUAAGCUUAGCUCUGGAAUUUGGAUUCGACAAGGAAAUCUCUAAGAAGGGCUUAGAUCGUCUUGUUCAUCUCUACGGUAAUCCCCAAAUCUAUUCCCUAAAAUCCACAUACAAUUCUCUAACUUCUUUUUUGCAGAUGGUAUAGGAAUAACUUAAUUUUACUUUUAUUAAGUUCAUUUUCUGAAUAAUUCCGCAGUUAAGUCAACUUGCCCAUUAUUUCUUUUGAUGUUUUACUUGUUGGGUAAAGAUUUUACAUUUUUCGUGUUUCGAAUAUUUAUUCUUUCCAUACUUGGUUUAAGAAAGAGGAGUACUUGAAGAAAAUUUUUAGUUGCUUCCCAUUAAUGGUCACUUAAUUUGGGACAUUCCAAUAGAAAGAAGGCCUCAUAAAUUGGGACAAAGAGUGUAAAAAGUAAUCCCUCUGUCCUAAUAUACAAGAGCAAUUUUGACUUAAAACUGUCUGAGAAGGAUUUAUUGUAACUUGUAAGUUAAAGUUAUUACUUAAAGGUUAAAAAGCAAAUAACUAUUGCACUGAGAUAUGACAUGAAAUUUAUUAAUACAAAAAAUAUGCAUAAAAAAGGGAGGAGAAUGGAACUUCAAGAAUACAAGAGAAAAGAAAGGAAAAGGAAAGGAAAGAAUUAAAGAAAACAAGUAAUGAAAAACUAUAAGAAAGUUUUCAACUGCUCAUUACGCUGAAUUUUAACAGUUUACUUGGUAUUAGAUUUAGGUUUAUUCACUGAUAAGGUGUUCUAUUUUUAUUUCUCAUUUCCUAUUUCUUGCCUUUCCAUAACUAUAUUCUAGUUAGAUGCUUCUGUAAUAAUGAGAAUAAAAGUCCAUAGAACUAGCAGAGGCACAGGUCUUGGUUUUCAGAAAAUUAAGAAUUUUGCUCUCUUAUUGGAUGCGAAUACCAAUGGUGCUUCCUAUAUUUCACAAGUUCAAGGUAAAUUUUGUUUCUCCCUUGCAAAGUAGAAAUAAUGGUGAAAGUCUGACCUGGACCCUCACUACUGGUUAGUAAAAAUUCAAUCUUUAUUUACUUUCUUAAUUUUAUAUUCAAUCUUUGUAAUUAACCAAAUGGGGUUUUUUUUAAAUUCUUAAUCAGGGACCAAAGAUUUUCUAAUGAGGAGCAUUACGAAUGGUUCAAAGAUUACUCUCACUUUCGUCAUCUCAUUCAACAACAUAUCAAACCCAAUUCUUCCGUAAACACAAAUUUCUUGUCUACUGUUAACACCAGGAUCUUUCUCCACGUCCCAAUCACGUAAGACGUCCUGA
rnacentral:lncRNA from 1 species